rnacentral:rRNA from 1 species
AUUGAACGCUGGCGGCAUGCCUUACACAUGCAAGUCGAACGGUAACAGGUCUUCGGAUGCUGACGAGUGGCGAACGGGUGAGUAAUACAUCGGAACGUGCCCAGACGUGGGGGAUAACGAGGCGAAAGCUUUGCUAAUACCGCAUACGAUCUAAGGAUGAAAGCAGGGAACCGCAAGGCCUUGUGCGUUUGGAGCGGCCGAUGGCAGAUUAGGUAGUUGGUGGGAUAAAAGCUUACCAAGCCGACGAUCUGUAGCUGGUCUGAGAGGACGACCAGCCACACUGGGACUGAGACACGGCCCAGACUCCUACGGGAGGCAGCAGUGGGGAAUUUUGGACAAUGGGCGAAAGCCUGAUCCAGCAAUGCCGCGUGCAGGAUGAAGGCCUUCGGGUUGUAAACUGCUUUUGUACGGAACGAAAAGGCUCUGGCUAAUACCUGGGGCACAUGACGGUACCGUAAGAAUAAGCACCGGCUAACUACGUG